CUGUGUUCCCUCCCUGUAGUUUGGCUUGAGGCCAAACUAGGGUAGGGGCGACGGCAACCUUCUGCAAAAGAACUUAGGCAUGACUGCUGCUGUUAAUGCCCCUGAGCCCACUGCCGGCUGCCGCUGACCCACACCUCCACCGGAGACUCCAAAACACUCAAAGGGGCUGUAGAUAAUAUCCACUGAGCUGUUUCAUAGAUGCUGAAACUGGAAAAAGCCAACUGCAUGAUGAUCAGACGUUAGUCAUUACAUAAGCUGUUCCAUCUUGCACAAUUCUGAGAACUGGCCUCAAGGAAACAGGAAGAAAAAAAAGAUGACCGUGGAGUUGAAGAUUAACCUUAAAAUUAAAACAAUCAAGAUGACGCUCAUGAGACCACUGCAUGACCAGUUUCACGACGAGGUCAGCACUGACUCAGUUGCUUCCACUUUCAGCCCCCUCGCCCUACCUGUGCAUCCUGAACAAUCCCUGAAAAUCGCCUGCCCUCUUACUGGCAGCUGGGGAGCUGGUUCUUUGGGACAUGAGUUCCCCUUUUCUCCAGGGCUGCCCGCUUCCUCAGUAAAGCUACCUUUCCGUUUACCCAA